rnacentral:rRNA from 1 species
GAUGAACGCUGGCGGCGUGCCUAAUACAUGCAAGUCGAGCGAACAGACGAGGAGCUUGCUCCUCUGACGUUAGCGGCGGACGGGUGAGUAACACGUGGAUAACCUACCUAUAAGACUGGGAUAACUUCGGGAAACCGGAGCUAACACCGGAUAAUAUAUUGAACCGCAUGGUUCAAUAGUGAAAGACGGUUUUGCUGUCACUUAUAGAUGGAUCCGCGCCGCAUUAGCUAGUUGGUAAGGUAACGGCUUACCAAGGCAACGAUGGGUAGCCGACCUGAGAGGGUGAUCGGCCACACUGGAACUGAGACACGGUCCAGACUCCUACGGGAGGCAGCAGUAGGGAAUCUUCCGCAAUGGGCGAAAGCUUGACGGAGCAACGCCGCGUGAGUGAUGAAGGUCUUCGGAUCGUAAAACUCUGUUAUUAGGGAAGAACAAAUGUGUAAGUAACUAUGCACGUCUUGACGGUACCUAAUCAGAAAGCCACGGCUAACUACGUG